rnacentral:rRNA from 1 species
UACGUGAGGGGCAAGCGUUGUCCGGAAUCAUUGGGCGUAAAGCGCGUGUAGGCGGCUCGGUAAGUCCGCUCUGAAAGUCCAGGGCUCAACCCUGGGAUGCGGGUGGAUACUGCCGAGCUCGAGUCCGGAAGAGGCGAGUGGAAUUCCUGGUGUAGCGGUGAAAUGCGCAGAUAUCAGGAGGAACACCAAUGGCGAAGGCAGCUCGCUGGGACGUGACUGACGCUGAGACGCGAAGCGUGGGGAGCAAACAGG